GUCUCUCAAGGUUUUUCAAUUACUUUGAGGUCAAAACUUUGGAUCAUGAAAUGAAAAGCAUUGUAAUGUAUUGCUGCAAAUGUCACUGCUGGGUAAACAUGUGGUCUUUCUGUUGCUACUAACUGACAGCUGGUGUGACAGUAUUUUUCUAUUUAUAUCUCUUAGAAAACUUGCUUCACAAAAUAUGUUUUCUUUUCCAUGAAAAACAUUUCAGGCUUAAUGUGAACACUUGCACGUUUUCUGGCCUCUGUUCUUGGAGCACCUCCUACUUCAGGCUUUGUUUAGAAGCCAGAAAUGUUGUCAGUGCAACUGCUUCAGCUGCUAAUUUUCAAUGACAAAGUCUUCAAUUUUCCUUUUGGAUUCUUUUCAAAUUUACUCAAACUUUUAUGAGUUGGUCUACUAGUCACUACUGAGGAGGUGAUAGAAAAUCAGUGCUUUGUACUUUUCUAGGAGUAGGGAGAUAAGGUGGAGAUAUUCCCAGGUCUAAAACAUCUCAAUGACAGACGUACCCCUGGCUCAGUCUUUCUGGGGUAAAUACCUUCUGCAGAAUCCUGCUUCUGUUUGCUCAAGUUACAUAAACUCGCAGAUAAGUUUGGGUACCUAAUUGCUUUCUGCUUAUGGGAUCAAUGCUAGUUUAAGAAGUAUCCUGUGUCCCACACGAAAGUACUGUUUUGAAUUACUCAUUUGAAACAUUUUCAGGGAACAUUUUAUUUGAUCACUGAAUGUCUAGUCACCAGAAGGUUUAUAAAUCUCUGAGAGGCUCUCAGUCUUUUCAGAGGUAUAAUUGCAGAUGAGUCCAUCUGUUCUCUUUUCAUCUCUGUCUUCCAUGUUUAUCUACCUUUCUGAUGUUUGUUCUGAUAUAUCUGGUGUUUAGGUGUAUGGAAGGCAAAGGAACUUAGCAGCUGCUGAAAAGAUGCUAGUGCUUGAUAUUGUCAGAUCUGAAGAAAACAGUAGAUUUUGAAACCUGACAAAUACAUUGUAAUAAAUAAGUGAAUGACUUCAAAUUCAGAGUUUGUGAACAGAAAAUGAUGACACACUGUAAAUGCAAUUUAAUAUACAGAGCUGAAUUCCUAUGCCAUUUCCUGGAAGGGUAAUGUAUGUAUUUCAAAACAUCUUAAUAUUGUGUAUGAUUCUUCGAUCUCAGCAGUAGUGCUAUGUUUUGUUUUUUUUCACUUGAAAACCAGCAGAAAGAGGAUAGAAUUUUCUUGUUACUUAGGUUUUUCAUAAUAUUUUAUGUGGGAUGUUGGCAGCUGCCUUCCUGAGGUGACAGUUUGUUAGCUAUUAAAUAUGUGCAAUUUGUUUAUCAUUCAUAUUAGUUGUAACUAUUCAUGACGCAGUUUGGAAAUCUUCAAUCCCUGUUACAGGAAGGAUGUUCUGUGAAAAGUAGGACUGAAUUACAAGACUAAAGAUACCUCUUGUAUGACCCAAAACUGUUCUCCUGGUACCUGGAGGACCUUGUUAUUGGGAGUCUGUUUCCACUCUGUGUGGUUCUGCAACUCAGUACGUAUAUAAAAUAUAAAAUCAGAUUAAUUAAAACACUAAUAAGAAACCUUUACAAGGUGUCUGUCUCCUCAAGGAGUGACUGAAAUAGAGUUGCAAACCAAAUUUCACAUGGAUUUUGUUUUUUUUAUGAACAGUUUCCUGUUUCGACACAAUAUUACUGUACCAUACCGCAUGUUCACUAAUUGCUUCUAAUGGCAUGUAACUGCACCAAUAGGUUUUUGUUUGUCUAUUUUUAAUAAUAGGUUGAGUGAUGGUUGUAUUCCCAAACAUAAUUCUCUCCCACUUCUUUAUCAAGGAAUGAUGAUAAAAUGUAUGUGAUGUUUUUAAUUGAUGAUCUUUUUUGUUUUUAGGGUUGGCUUAUUAGCUGAAGACAGUGUUGAUGAGUGUAAUAUGUUAGAGUGAUUUCUUCUUUAUAAAGAUAUUUGACAUACUUUAUAGAGUGUUUGCCCCAUUCAUAGCCUAGCAUUCUCUAACAAUGACUUUAUUAAAUCUGUGCUUGUUAGGAGCCAGAUUGAGGCUUUCACAUGUGUUUUAUGUUGUUGGGACACAAAAUAAGGAAUAUGAAUUAAUUUGACAAGGCCUCCUGUUUUUCUGUCAUGUGGUGGAGUAAAAAUUAAAUAAUAGUCUCUUUCUAAUGGAAUGAGAGAUUAUUAUCAACAUGCAAAGGGGAUAUCUAAAAUAAUAGGACCUGAAUUGCUUCUAUAAUGCAUCACUGAUUACAGUUAAAAUCUAAAUGUUUAUCUUUCUCUCUGAGAAUGUUAAAUGGACUUAGAAAGUGAUCGGAACUAGACUGAAAUGUAGUGGAUAUAUAUUUCUAACAAAAGACUUUUAAGACACACUUACAAAAAAAAGACUUUUUUUUCCAUUAAAAUGAUUCAUUCUACAUUAACAGAUAAUAGAGGUGUCAUUUCAUUGACAUCUUCUACAUUUGUGCAUAAUGAAAAUCUGACUGUGCAGUUUCAACCUCCUGAAAACGGGCCUAAUGGACACCAUUUGAUUAAAUGGGCCUUGAAACUCUGUCAGUUGCAGACCCUUGGAAAUCUGCAGAGGAAUAAAAAGCACUUUUUUUGUUGUUCUUUUUUUUUUUCUCUAUAAAAGCUUGGAGUUUGUCAAUCAGUCAAAGUCAAGAUGUUACCUUGCAGAAUUUGUGGCUGUCAGUUCUAGUGCUCUCCACUGGAGGACAGCCUGUCAUAACACUGUGCUCCCUGAGCUGGAAGCAGAGCUGGAAGGAAUCUGUUCUAAUAUUCCCCCCAGGGAGGAGAAGACAAGGUUACCGUUCCUGAAAGAAUGCUCUGAAAUAUGGGCCAGAAACAUUAUAGGCCUAUCUGGGGUUUUCCGUGAAGUCAAAACAAAUGCCUUAUCCAGCUUUAUUUCUUUUCCAUGAUACUGGGAGAUGGAAAAUAUCAGUAAAAAGAAAGAAAAAAAAAGAAUCACCGCACCAAGUCCAGGAGAGUAAAACAUCUGUGCAGGUUUUGGAUUUAUUCAGAGGCUGUUGAGUUGGCUGAUCAAUACAGUUCUGAGGUAGAAAAGUUCUUUUUUGCUGGGACUACAAGGAGGCCAGAGGUAAUUGAGAAAGAAUUGAACAGAGGUGUGGCUAAAUACAUUGCAUGAAAUCUGUUGUGCCCUUCCUCAGGGUCCAGGUUCAGCCCUGAUCUGUAGGAAACACAUUCACUCAGCUUUACGAAUUCAGGUAGAUUCCAAGGAUAUCACUGUUUACUGCCUUGCAGUGCUUGCUUUUGUCAUCAGUUGAACCAUGAUUCCCUGUACAGAAUUCAGUCAGUCACUGUCCCAGUCCUGCAGUACUGGACAGAAUCUUCUUUCCAGCCUGUUGAGAGAUGGUGUCUUCUAAUUCAUUUGUGAUUUUUGUUUAUUUGAGGGGGUUCUUUGUAAAGAAUAACUUUCAGCAUGCCUGGCUAUACCUUCAAGCAGUUAUAUUCAUCAAACAACUUGCCUUAGCCAUCUCUUUACUCAGCUUCUGCUUUUGUUUUCCUGCAGACUGAUAACUCAUGUUCCAAUUUAGAACGUGUCUUAGGGGUGUGUUCAGCAUUGCAUCCUCAAUAGAUUAAAGAUGGUAUAGUGGUUGGAUUUUAGAGAUCAGAAUACUUGAGUUCAAAUCUUAAUGCAGAUUUCCUCUCUGACCUUAAAUAGAUCACACAUAAUCUUAGGUUCCAUUUCCUUGCCUGCAAGAUGGAGGUGACUAGUGCUUUCCGCUUGACAAGCUAGAAAUGUAAAGAUUGUGAGGUAUUUCUGUAAUGAAACCCAUGAGUAUACAUGUACUCACACCUAUUCACAGCCUAAUGAACAGGGAAAUGCAGAUGGACUGUGCUUUCUCAGUCAGCUCUGCAAAUAUAGCUUUAAAAGCAACGUAAUAGAUUUGUCUUUCUAAACACCCUUCCAAGUACCUCAGAAUAUAUUCAUUCUCUUUUUACUCUGUGACAGCUAAAGAUAAAAUCUUAGUGCUCCUUGUGCAGACAAAGCAAGUUUUCGUAUAUUUUAUGAAAGAAGCAUUUGUCAAAUCUGGCCUAAAAUUUAAAUUAUUAAGCAAAUGCCUGACAGGUAAGGGGGAGAGGUCCAGCAAAUGAAUCUUGAGGAGCUAAAGUUCACAUUUUGUAAUAUAAGGUAAAUGCUUGAGUGGUUUCAUUUUAUCCUACUUCUAUAAACAGGGAUUUAUUGUUCUUUCCUUGCUUCUCCUUGUCAAUGACAAGUAAAGAGUUGAAAGAUUAAAAUGUAUCUUAAGAGCCUCAGUUCAGUAGAAAAUUACACUUCAAGGCAAUGGGAGACCACUAAAUUCUUUUCAAUCAUGUUUUUUUAUUCUACGAUUAUUCAGUAUCACACACACAGUAAUUGUAUGUUUGGGGUGAGGGAAAACAGUCCUAAAAUUAAAAUUAAUAAUUUAAAGUGGGAAAGAAAAAAAAAAAAAAAAAGGUCAAAUUUCAUAAUCCAUACUGUCUUGACAGUAUGUUCUUUAGGUUCUCAAAAAUUUCUGUGGUUACCAACACCAUUUUUUAUCAGUACAUCCCAGCUUCAUGAAAUGCAUUUGGCUGAGUAUGGAAUGACAUGGGCACUAGCUGUAAAAUACUGAUUUUUCUCACAUCUUAGAGUAACUAGGCUCUGUACUCUGACAUGCUGGAUGUUCCCUAGCCCUAUGUCAGGGAAGAAUUUUGGGGGUGCUGCAAAUAUUCUAUUUAUCAAAUUUAGAGAUUUCUAAGACUACAUUUUCUUCAUUUUACCAUUAUUAUGAAAGCUUAUACAGUUAAAGAGACUUGAAAAGCAUCAAUGGUCUCCAUUGUUCCACGGAUGCAUUAGCAUUCAGUACAGUUCAUCAUCCCCCAAAAUGUUCAAGUAAUGUGUUAGAUGUUUCUCAAAAGAAAGUACAUUAUUGUAUUUUAUUAUUUUCAUGUGCUGCUAGGAGUGCUUCUGAACUACUGAACUAAAUCACAAAAAAUUUCAUUGCUCCUCUCAAAAUAUGAUGGAAAUGACAUGGAAUUUCUUUUUCAGGUUGAUCCUUCCAGUGAAUUAUGAUCUUUUUUUAAUUGGCUUGGAUUUCAGCUGCUUUAUAAUAUACAGAGGAGAUUGUUAUUAGGAAUGUUUAAGGGAGGCGUUUGUAUUUUUGACAGUCAGUGGUGUUAAAAGCCUUUGUUAGUCAUAAGAGUAAUUCUAUCAGUUGACAUCAAAAGCCAAAAUCUUUUUGCCUUAUUUGCAUGAGCAGUCCAUUUUUGAAGCUAGCAUGAAUAUUGUUAUGAAAACGCAAGCAUAGUCUUUCCAGUCUUUUUUCUUUGCAGGUCAAGCAAGUGAAAAAAUAAUACCACAAUAGACACAAUGUAUACAAAAUGUCCUUCUUCAGUAAAGUUGCUAUGUAGAAAUGUUAAUCUUUCACACUAUUACUGCAGCAAUUAUCCUACAGUAUGACCAGUGAAAAAAGGCCACAGUGGAGGUCACCAAUUUGGAGUCAGAGGUAAUCAGCAUCUGUAGCUGUGCCAAAAACCAGUCCGAGACCAGGUGGCUGAGAGUGAUGCAAGUAGCACUGAUAGAUCUAAAAUCCCCGGGAACGUUACCUGUGCAAAUGAAAGUAAUAGACAUGUGCAGCUACCUAGUAGCACCUGUUGGAAUACAAACAACGUAUGUCAGACUACAAAUCAGAGGAGGCAGAUCUCACUUUAAGUCAGCAAAAUAUCACCAGUGUUCUAAAGGUCACUAUCUCCUCAUACGGUGAUGGUAUUGACUGAUUCCUCUGCAACAUUAGACUUGAAGAAUCUGGCUUAUUCUCAGCAUUUCCAACUCUCAGAUAUUUAGAACUGGAACAGCAAAGCAGCUGUCAGCCUGAAAAGCAAUCAGUUUCCUACAGCAUAUGCUUCAUGACAUGUAGAGAGUGGUACAGAAAAUAAACAUCAUGUAGAUCUUCCAAACUAAGAGAACAUGCAAUACAGAAAUACAUACUGGGCAAGUUGCAGCUGACUGAUUGCUCAUCAGUGCUCCAUAAGGGAACUUAUGACAUGCUCAGCAGGCCUUGGUCACAUAUUGGUAGCCAAGAUCCAGGUUUUCACUGAGAGAAGUAAUGGACAGAUGUUUCACUGAAAGAAGUUGAAGCAGAAGUGAAAGUGCUGCAUGUCAAAUAUCAUCCUUUCUUGUAUGAAAAAUAAUACCACUGGAUUUGACAGCUAUCCAGAGAUGCAUGAGCUUGAUGGAAAGAUGGAAAGCAUGUGCUCACUGGUGCCAAUGAUGGGUAGUUCUGGAGAUAAAGCUUUCUCAGAGUACAAACCUAAAUAAACAUUUGGACUGGAAUGAGAAAGCUGAAAGUUGAAGAAGAUGCAGCAGUGGCAAACCCACUACAGUUCUGAUGGAGAUGCUAAAGGCUCUGUGCCCUUCAAUCCCAUUAUUAGAAGCAAACUCCUCUCUCAGGAACCUGUGUAUUUUCUCAAAGUAUAGGUUUGCAGUAUUUCACAUGUGUGGAUUCAGAGAAAACAAUCCAUUUCUUUGGAGCACCUCUGAAUUUCUUGUCUGCAUUGGGAAUCAUUGGCAAGCUAAAUCUUUGAUAAAAAGUCUGAUACCUGAAGCCCCAGACUGGCACUAGCUAGAAAAGAGAUGCGAUACCAGGUUUCGGCAAAGCUUGCUUGGGUAUCUGAGGAGGUUCUUUUUGAGACAUGAUUUUAUCAAUUGUGGAUGUACCAGUAAGUUCCACUCUGAAUGUCUAAAACCAGGCAAAGUAGUGUUGAUUCUUCAAGAAGUAAAUAUGCAAAAGAAUAGCAGAUUGGAAUUUACAGACAGGUCCCAGAAUCAACUACAGCUUCAGUGGUAAGGUAGCAAAUGAAGAAGACAAUGUAUUUGUACUUGAAAAUUACAUCUUUACCUUGAUCACAGUACUGUGGUGAACCCAUAUUGCAGACUUGACUCUCCAAACGUCCCUUCGAACCACUACAAUCCUUAUUUGGCAAAUACGAACAAUGUGAAAGUAUGGAGAAAAAAUGCUGCAGAUUUAAGUCUUGACAUCACAUUUAAAGGAAGUGAUUUGCUUAUCUGCAGUACCUGUCAUAUUUUGACUUCAUCCUUUCUGAUGAUGAAAAGCAGCAAAGGAAACACAGUAGUCAGAAUGCCAGGUUUUCCAGGUUGGAGAAUUCACAGCAGUAACCGUCUCUACUCUUUGGAUUAUUUUUCUUCCUAAACAAAAGUGAUCUGAUAAUCUCUCUUUCCUCGAGCCGGGAUGAUUUGUGCUGCUGUGUAAUGAGAGAAAUCCUGCAUCUUUGGCUAUUCAAGGGCCUGAAAUACAGCCUACUGCAGCUGAUAAGGUAUAAUGGAUUUCAGUGAGCUUUAGCACCCCUGAACUGAACACAGCGGAGACCCAGUAUGACUGAAGUUUCCAAGUCCAGCUGUAAGAUAUGGGACCUAACCUGGUAUUUGUAAAUUACAUGUAGUAGAUUGAAGGCAGCAGGCAGCAGGAACCCUUCACAGGCAAGAAAACCCAGGUGUCAAGACCCAAUAAGCACAGUACUUCCAUCAGCUUUCCAGGAGCACGACUGGUUGGAGGUCAUACGUGUUUGUCUUGGAAAGCUGAAGUUUUGAAGACAAAUGUCUUCUUUUAAGAAGAAUAGAAACUCCAGAAUUUUGCCUAAUGUUCUUCUGCCCUAAUCCAGUUUAUUGAAGCACAGGUGGGAUUAAAAGCCUGAACUUGGUUACAUAUGUUCUUCUGCCUCUUACUUGACUCACAGGACAGUUCCCCAUUUCCUAGACCCAUUUCAUCCCAGGUCUGAUCUUACUCAUGAGUGGAUUACUGAAUCAUGUAAACCAUCUCUGCCCUUCGGUUGAGCUGAGCUUGCUGUGUACCAGAUUUCCCUUUCCUCUUGUUCUACCCCUGCCCCCACCAUGAAGGUUGCUCACUAUUUUUAACAUCAGGUAAUGGGAUUGCGGGGAUGAGAGGCAAGCACUAUUGAAAAUAUGGUUCUGUCCUAUGUACUGGGACAUAAAAAGGGAUAUCAGAAGAAGGUAUGAGAAAAAUGUCGAAGAUUUGCAUACAUUUAUAAGUCAGCAGUAUGAUGGUUAACUAGCACACACAAAAAAAGCUUCUUGCCAUAAUAAUGAUGUCUUGAAAUUGUGCAGUAAUCAGGCAUGAUAGUCUUGAGAUGCACUUCUUUCAAAACAUCAGGCAUAUGAUGAGUAUUUAACUCACUGAGAUACUUUCUUUCAUUAAAAAUGAUUACUCAAGCAUGGUUUUAAUCAUUUUUUUUUAGGAAGAAUAUAAACAGGAGUUAAAUUCCUUAUCCUUUAUGUGCCCCAGAGGCUCCUUUCUGUGUCAGUCUUCAAUAAGCUAAAAAGUUAAGAAUGAGUUUGAAAUUGUGUUUUUAACAGUGUAUAGGCUUUUUUCAAGUAUUCAUAUUUAUUAAAGGAAGUUUAGUACCUAACUUGAACACCAGAUCUAUCAAACAGUGCAAUAUUGUAUCUUUAUAUCCUCUUCUCUAGAGCAAACUAAGGCUUCCUACCAAAUAAAGCAGAAACAAAUUCUCUUAUCAAACUGUGGGGCUCAGAAAAUCAGUAUUUAGUUUAUAUUUCUUACUACUAUCUUAAAGAUUAUUAUUAAAACACAUCAUCUUCAUGCUACUGAAUGCUACAGAGUAUUUCUUUACCUUGAGGACAGACUCAAAUGAUUAAAAUCUUGUUUGUCCUUCUCCCUCCCUUUCUCUCACAACAUACCCAUGUUAUUGUACAGAUUUACCAAUUUUUCACUGAUUUUACCGUAUUUUACUGUUUUUAAUGGCUGCUUGCAUUAGCAGCUGUUACAGAGAGGAACUGCAAAAACCCUCUCAUCUAUUUGGCUUGGUUGAACUAAAUUGAAGAUUAGAACAUUAAGUUGCCCAAGUUGGGUUCACCCAAAAUAAAAACAUGUCUGGCCAGUGAGGAGGUAUGAAAAAGACAUCGCUUUGCACUACUUAUAUGCUCAGCUAUUGCAGAGCCCUUGGGAAGCAUCUGUAGCUUUUUUAGGGAUAUCCUGACUUAAAAUAGGAAAUAAAGAAAUAUAGAAAAUUUACUCAGUUGGAUUUUUUUGCCUCCUAAGUCUGUUGUUGUGCUGGGUUUAGUUCAAGCACAACAGAGAUGGAGGCCCAAAGCCAUCACAUCAGAGAGCAUUAUUUCUCAUCAGUCAGAAUACCAAGUCUAUAAAAUAUUCAUAAAACUCUUCAAAUUGAAUUGGCCUUUCAAGUAAUAAAAGAAUACAUCAAAGUAAUACACUAAAUGAGGACUUUCCUCUACAGCAUAUGAUAUAAACCAUAAGAAUUUCUAUUAAAUAUUUGAUUAUUGAAAAGUAAAUGAGACUUUUUCUCAUGUGACAAUGACGGGACUUCAUGCAGUAUGAAACUAACAAAAAAGAUACUGUUAUUGUUAAUGCCUCUGUUUCUUACCAUCUGAAUUAAUGAGCAUGUUUGAUCUUCCUUGAUUUCUUCAUGCUUCAUCGCUUCUAUCCCUGUCAGAAGCGUACUUUUCACUUUUCUUGUGAAAUAAUCUACAUAAUGCAAACUGACUGUUCAUGGAGCACAAUGAGUAUUCUACCAGUAAGGAAGAAAGGGCAUCAUUUGAUAAAAGCAGGCAUAUUGUUGAGACAGCUACAAAAUUAGUUAAUUUUAGCAGAGAACAGGUUUGGUGUUUUUUUUGCUGCCAGUCAAGAUUUAAACAAAGGAAUCAUCCCACAUUUGGCAGAUAAUUAUGCUUCUCCAAGGGCAAACAUAACACUGAAUGAAGAGUUAAGGUCUCAAUUUUCUCAGAUACUUUUGUUCUUCGAACAAAUGUAUCCGCUUGUUUCAUAAAUAGGCUAAAAAAUUUGAACAAUCUAUAGCAAUUAUUGUUCUAGGCAUAAAAGCAAUGCUCACAUCCUCAUUUUAUGAGUUCUUUUUAUGAUUAUUAUUUCAGUUUCCAGAGUCCUGCAUCACUUAAUUUUUUACCUUUGGUCCCCAGAGCAGCAGAUACCAAUGUCAGAGGAGACUCCUGCCGACAUCCAUGUUGCUUGUGUGUGAGUUUGAAUAGAUUACUUUAGAGCAUUGAUGUUGAGCAUUAAAAUGGUUCCAAUUCUCUUAAUUAGAAAAGUAUUGAAUGUCUACCUCAAGUUUACCUACGCAGUGUUUUUGCAGGUUUUACUAUUAGCCACAUUUCCAUAAAAACAAGAAAGUAUGAUUUUAAUGAGCUUUAUUUACAAAUUUAACACAGCCUGACCAUAUUUGAGUGAUUCUGUAGCAAAUAAAACCUAUGAUUUAUAGAAAAAAAAAAAAUUCUUGCUCACAAAUACUUAUCAUUGAUAUGGCUGUCUGGAAGCAAGAAGAUCCCACACAUACAUAUACAGAGCUCAAUUCUGCAUUUAUGCCCAACAAAAUCUCCAUUAACCUCAGAGACCUCAGACUUGCAUCAGUGUGAAUGUCUUGACAAGCAAAACAAUAAAAAGAGUUGAAUUUUCCCAUCUCUGAACAAUCUGUUUUUUCAGACUGGAAGCAAAUUUAAGGUACAGUAGCAUUCUGCCAUGCCUUGACCUGCUUAGUGUGUCCAGGCCCUCUCUAUAUGAGACCAGCAUAUACAAUUUUUCUGCUUUGUUACACAUCAAAGUGCUCUCCUACUGUAGAGGACAACUUUCAAUCCCAGAGCCCAGGUGCUUGCUGUCUGUGCCUUUAUGAGAAAGACACAGCCUUGACUUCCCUGACAUUUCUUUGUCUGAAAGUAGGAAAAUAAAGCAAUAAUUGUCUUGAGGAACUGUCUACAAGGUGGGGGAUGUUUUGUUUCCAGCAGGAUCAGAACAGAGAGAGAACCCGAUAACCUAUUGCUGUGCAAAAUAUUAUAUACAUUUUCCACAUGUGUAACAUAUCAAUCUGAGUUUUAUAUGUAUUUUCUGUGCACAUAAAUUGAGCUGAAAUCGGAUUAUUAAUAAUAAUAAAGCAUAUUUAAAUGCAGAGGUAAUAGGUAACAGCAUUUGGGGCAAGUGCUUGCUGGCUCAGAGGAAACUAGUGGGCACUGAAUAGUUCCAAGUUUGUCUCUGUAAGUUGAAUGAUGGUCAUGAGAUGCUUAAAGCACAAAGAUAUUAUGAGUAUAGGAGGCAUUUUCUGUUGAAUACUUACAGCCCACAGUGCUGGAAUUACAGAUACAGUAGCUGGAAGGACCAUCUUAUCAGAGACUGAUGUUUUACUGUAUUGCUAUCAGUGGAAUAAUUGUGAUGUGUUAUGUGCUCAGUAACUUACCCCAAGAUGUGCCUGUACCAUGCUUACCUGUUUCGUGACAGACAGACACUAAGUCCUACUGUCAUAAUUAAGGCUAUUCAAAAAAAUACAGCUGAAUCUGUAAAUAUGUGUCAUUUUAAAAGCCACUUUAUAUUCACAAUAUUUCUGAAAUAUUAACUGUUAAUAAGUUUGACUCACACAUCAACCUAUCAAUCAAUAUAUAUGAAGAAUACACUUAAGCGUAUUAGACAGGAUUUAGGUAACAUCAUUCUUUUCUGUUUAUAAAUAUAUAUAAAUGACUGUAACUGUUUAAACCAUUUUUUUUCUCCACAGCCUCUCCAUCUUACAUCUCUAUUUUACAUCUCCAUAAGCUGUAUUCUUCUUUCCUAGAAGAGUCUACAAGCUGUAUUCCCUUCCCUGCAAUGUUACUGAAGCACAGAUGGACUGCUUUAGCAAAGUAGCUCUAUGGACUCUUACACAUCUCUGUGUGUAACUUGCUAUAUUCACAGGUUUUUUUUCUUUUCCCUCACUUUUUAUACUUUACUUGGCAAAAGUAACAUGGACUUUACUGAAAGUUAUACAUAAGCCCUAGGUUAAUGCUAACUUAAUACAGAAAGCCAAAUUCCAGGCUGAGAUGGAAAUGGGAAUAUGUGUGCAGUUCGACUGCCUGCCUUAGAAUUGCAUUGGCAUGCAUGGCCAAAGCGCUAAGUGGAGAGAAGUAAGAUAAAUUAUGAUCUUGCCUUCUGAUACUAACCAAACUAAAAUGACAACAGGAAAACAAACCAAGCAAACUCAUUUUCAAUCAAGGAGACAGUGGGAAAGAACAGCGAGAUGCUGCCUCAUCCCUGGAGGAUGAUGAGGAUUUUGCUCAUAUCUAUUGUUUAUCCAUAACCAGGGUCAUGUUGAUCAAUUUCAGAGCACUAUGCAAUAUGUAAAAGAGAUUAUGUUUCACAUGAUACUUCAUAUAUUUCCAUACACUGCCUGCCUUAAUAUAAAAUGUGAUUUUUAUCUGAUUUUAAUACUACAGUGUUAGCUGCCAUUAUUUGCACAGUAGGUAAAUGAGGAGCUGCACAUGAAAUCCAGAUUUAAUUAGAUAGAACAUGCUAUCACUUACUGACUAGCAUAAGCAGGAUACAAUAAAUACAGGCAUUCUGUAAUACUUUUCUUCGCUGAGAUGAUACACAGCAACACAACAAAGUUUCAUUUAAUGUGGACCACCAAUACCCAGGUACUUGAGUUUUCCUAAAAAACAUAAUAUUUUGUAGAAAGUAGGUGUGGCAUUGACAACAUUUUAGGGUUUUUUUUGGCUCGGGUUAUACACCAGGUUCAUCCAGCUUUAUAUGUAUCUGUUGUUUCUUCUAACGCUGCCCUUUUAGACUUCCAUUAGUUUUAUUUUAGUAGCCAAAUGAAAACCCAGUCUGAUUCUCCUGUAACUUAUUGCUAUUGCUGUCUUUGGAUGUUUCCUUUUUCCUAAAUGUAGUAUUAUGCCAAAUACAAGAACACAAAGUGUAGAAGUCAAAAAGAGGAGGAGAUCAAGGAAAUGUCUGUCCCCAGAUAUUCUAGGGAAUGAAAUUGCUUUUUCCUUUUUUAGCUCCUGUGGACUAUGGUCUACGUGUCUUUGUGGUUCAUCAGUGUCCCUGAUACUUCUCUGAGACAUCUGGUUAUGCUUUUACUAAUUACUAAUGCCACUUGUGUUCCUUGCUGUUUGCCAGACCCCAAUGAACAGGCACUGUGUGGUAUACAUGAGUGUCCAACUCCAUGGCUUGCCUGAGCCACGCUGAAUAGAAGGGAAUUGUCUUGGGCCAGGUCUCUCUGAAAGUAAUGCUUUCUAUUUAUUUCCACAGAAACUACAGCAGAUACAGUGAACACAGUAAUGCAUGGGGCGGGGGACCAUGGCAGGACGGGCUGUGCCAAGCUGCGGGUUGGACCUGCCUGGUGUAGCCAUUCCUUUUCCAAGGUACAGCACCAGGGCUCCUGCCAGAUCUGUUUCACAAAUCCACUCAGCCUCAUUCCCCUGCUCGAAGUCAUGGUGCUACAGAGCUUUUUAGGAGGGUUUUUCAUUCCACUGCUUUCAAAACUCACUGAAGAUGGCCAAAUAACAGAUGUUUGGUGUUAACCUUUUCUGCUGUUUUAUAGCUUCUGAUCGCCAGCAGAACUGAAGUCAUUAACCAGCUGAGGCUUCUCCAUUGUUCUCUGACUGCCUUUCUUCUCCAAGGUACUUUUCUAGCCCUUUCAUUUCAAUCAAGCUGCACACCUUGUUGCUGUUAAUCUCUCAGCAGAUUCAAAACUAUACCCAGGGUGACAGUUGCAGAAUUCACUGGUACAGCCACAGCAUCUUCAGUGCAGGCUGAUGACAAUGGUGACAGCCAGGAGUUCGGCACAAGCUCUUUCAGCCACUUUGAACAAAUUAAUGGGGCAAAACAGAAAACACCAGGCUGUCACUGCAUUCACCAGGCUGGACUCUCAUCCAAGAUGUCAUUCCUCUUGAGCUGCUUGGUUCAACUUUAAAAGUGGGAACUGUUUAACUAAGGAAUGGUGCGAUCAGCUCCCUUGUUGCUUGAGUAUUCCCUGAGAUGGUGAAGCGUACUACAAGACUCUAAUCUUAAAAUGUAACACUUGGAUGAAAGUGGGUUCAUCUCAGAGACCUACAAAUGGCCAACGUCUGGAGCAUGGUGGGACGUUUGCAGUGCCUUUAAAGCUCACUUAUCAAAUUGCACAGACGUCCUCUGACAUAAGGGGCGCAUCACGAAGGACAGGCACCCACACAGCCUGCCCUGUGCUAUGCUGCCCUCCUGGGAGCUCUGCUGCCUGCAAAGGGAGGAAGGAGCCUGCGGCGUUUACAUGCCUCUAACCAAAUCUCCCUGCUCAGUUCUUUCAGCUGUCAUGUCCAGGUUUGCUGUUUCCAGCUCAGACAUGCUGGCAAAAGGGACGCUUAUGGAGGAGAGCUCAGUCAGCGCCAAGUCCAAAAUCUCUCAAGGCUGCCAGUUGUUUUGCUUGGAGGCUCAUCUCUACCCUGGCCUAGCAGAAUAAUGAAAGCAUGACAAAUCUGAUUAGUCUUUCUUCAGCCCUCAACAUAAAUUAAAUUCCAUGAAGUAAAUCCCAGGAAUAACUGACGUCUUUAAACAGAUGAUGCAAAGCAUACCAGUCUGCAAGAGCUGAUUUCUUUUGUUUCCAUUUGUGGAGCAGGCAAAUUAUACACUGUUCAUGUGAUUUCAUCAAAGAUCUUCAUUUGCGGUGGCUUCAAAAUUAAAUACUUCCGUUGUCCAGGAACUUUGGAGUUUACAAGAGAGUACUGUAUGUUCCAGAGACCAACAACAUAACCUGUGCAGCGGCUGUGCAGCAAGAUAGCAGUAGGAAAUGAUUUUAUAGGGGCCUAUCACAUCUGGGUUUAAAGCUAGUAGACUUCUACAUUUUUUUUGUUUAUUAGUACUGCAAUGUCUGUAUGUCCCACAAAACCUUUUUCUCUGGCAGGAUUUAUGGAUUAGAUGACUGCUUUUAAUUUAUUAUUUGUUUUUUAAUCUAUCUAUCUGUGAACAGGAAUACAUGUAAUUAUAUAUGUAUACCUACCAGCCUAUGGGUGUUGCUGAAGCUUCCUAUCACUUCUGUGAAUAGCAGUUAGGAUUAUACCAGCAAUAAAGAAAAUUGUAUCUUCAUAUGAGACUGAUACAAAAACUUAUUACAUACUCUCUCGCUUAAUUAUCAGAAACCAAAACCAAACCAGAACAGUAGUCCAUUAACUUAGCUACAUAGCUGUUUUUAAUUUUUGCUAAUACAUAUAAUUAGCUGGAUAUAAUUUUUACAAUUUGUAAACAUCUUCUUAAAUUCUGGAUAUGGAAUUCAUUGAAACUUUAAUGAGUGCAUUAUUGACCCAUUUAUUUUUGUCAAAAAUUGAGAAAACGUAUAAUAAAAAGUAUUACAUGGUUCUGAAAUCUAUUUACUAGCUCUCACCAUGAUAAGAAUAUCUGAAACAAUACAUCUAAGUGAACAUUUCUUAAAGUGGUUUAGAGAAUUGUAUCUGUGUAUUUCAGUGAUGGUGGGAUACACAGUUUCUUUAACAGCAACUUUAUGCAGGUCCAAUACAAAUAUCACAGAUACUGUAUCAGGAAAACUACAGUACCUAUGUGAGCCUCACUGACAUUUCCUUUUAAGGUCCUCUCUAUAAUGUCUAUCUAACUGAUUCCCUUGAAGGACAUACCUGUGCAUCACACUUGGAAGAAGAAAUUUCAGGGCACAAAAGGAAAACUGUGACCUAAGAACUCUGAGAAUCAAAUGGAAAAGAAUGAAAAGUCUGACCUUGUGAUUCCAUUCUGAUUCUUCAUCCAGCACUGCAGGAGGAAUUCCAUACAAAGAGAUGAAGUUCCUGCUGUUGCUGAACACUGUAGGAGGAACAACAAUAUUACUGAGAAGAAAAAGGAAUAAUGUUCCUCAGGUUAUGCCACAGGGAAUCAGCUGUGGUUCUCCUGCAGUAAAGGUGAGCAGGAAGAGAAACCAAGUCUACAGUGGCAUUGGCACUCUGAAAUGGACUGACCACCUGUGGCCAAGCUUGGACCAAAUAGAACCACAUCUUAUGUUGCUAACAAAACAAAAGUGAAAUAAAUAAAUAAAUAAAUAGAAGGUAUUUGCUAAGCUGUAGCAAGAGUCAGAGUGUGGAUGGUUCUGUGCACUGGAAAUAUUUGUUUCUUUGAUACUUUCAUACUCCACAGGAGCUAUCAAGUGUAAAGCAAAUGUGUUCUCUAGAGAUAGCUAAAAAAACAAACAAAACAAACACAGAAAGCAACGAUGUAUAUUUCUUUUUUGGUUUUUAACUCUGAAAACUAGUUUGACCUUCACUGCUCAUUCAUUUUGAAGUGCCAUAAACAGUGAAAUAAAAUUUGCAUUUACUAUAAACUCCUUGUUCAUAACUGCUUGUUUCUCCAAGACCUCUGGAUUGUAAGUGUGUGCAAA